GCUCUAAAAGAGUUUUCUUCGAGCGAGCGGUCUUUCUAUCUUUUUGGGUUGCAUGCCCAAGGCAAUGCUUUUUGUAGAUUGAGAUGGAUUGAUCUUCGCUAUCGUGCCUCCUCCUUGUACCAGUUGAUGCUGGGGAAGUGCUUAAUAUGAGUUUUCUCCUGCCCUAGACAGCUUCGAGGUUCCCAUCGAUCGAUUACAGAGGUUUCUACCACUGAACUUGCUUAUGCUCCCCUUUGAUCGAGUGCUAUUUCUAUAAAGAAGAUUGAGUAGGAAAAUGUUGAAUUGGCUUCAAUCGAGAUUGCCUCGGCUUCUUAGGCACAUGAGGAAGCGGCCUAACAUCUUUUCAAUCGAAAUCCCAAUCAAAGACAAGUUCUACCAAGGCCAGGACAAAUUGGAUUCAAUCGAGAUUUCCUCGGCUUCUUAGGCACAUGAGGAAGCGCCUAACAUCUUUUCAAUCGAAAUCCCAACCAAAGACAAGUUCUACCAAGGCCAGGAUCUGAAAGAGAGGAUUCACUUUCCAAAAUUCCAAGUGACAUGAUUUCUCCUUCAGAAGCUAAAGUUGAAUGAUCGAAGUCUCCUUUAGGUUCAGUCGAAGAGAUCGAAGN
rnacentral:lncRNA from 1 species